rnacentral:rRNA from 1 species
GAUGAACGCUAGCGGCAGGCUUAAUACAUGCAAGUCGAGGGGCAGCAUGAAUGUAGCAAUACAUUUGAUGGCGACCGGCAAACGGGUGCGGAACACGUACACAACCUUCCUAUAAGUGGGGAAUAGCCCAGAGAAAUUUGGAUUAAUACCCCGUAACAUAAUGAUGUGGCAUCACAUUAUUAUUAUAGCUACGGCGCUUAUUGAUGGGUGUGCGGCUGAUUAGAUAGUUGGCGGGGUAACGGCCCACCAAGUCUACGAUCAGUAGCUGAUGUGAGAGCAUGACCACCCACACGGGAACUGAGACACGGGCCCGACUCCUACGGGAGGCAGCAGUAAGGAAUAUUGGUCAAUGGACGCAAGUCUGAACCAGCCAUGCCGCGUGAAGGAUCAAGGUCCUCUGGAUUGUAAACUUCUUUUAUCUGGGACGAAAAAAGGCGAUUCUUCGUCACUUGACGGUACCAGAUGAAUAAGCACCGGCUAACUCCGUGCCAGCAGCCGCCGUAAAAC